CGGGACGUAGCGCAGUUUGGUAGCGCGCUUCCUUGGGGUGGAAGAGGUCGUGGGUUCAAAUCCCGUCGUUCCGA
rfam:Mitsuokella multacida DSM 20544 genomic scaffold Scfld0, whole genome shotgun sequence.